rnacentral:rRNA from 1 species
AUUGAACGCUGGCGGCAUGCUUUACACAUGCAAGUCGGACGGCAGCACAGAGAAGCUUGCUUCUUGGGUGGCGAGUGGCGAACGGGUGAGUAACAUAUCGGAACGUACCGAGUAAUGGGGGAUAACUAAUCGAAAGAUUAGCUAAUACCGCAUAUUCUCUGAGGAGGAAAGCAGGGGACCUUCGGGCCUUGCGUUAUUCGAGCGGCCGAUAUCUGAUUAGCUAGUUGGUGGGGUAAAGGCCUACCAAGGCGACGAUCAGUAGCGGGUCUGAGAGGAUGAUCCGCCACACUGGGACUGAGACACGGCCCAGACUCCUACGGGAGGCAGCAGUGGGGAAUUUUGGACAAUGGGCGCAAGCCUGAUCCAGCCAUGCCGCGUGUCUGAAGAAGGCCUUCGGGUUGUAAAGGACUUUUGUCAGGGAAGAAAAGGCUGUUGCUAAUACCGACAGCUGAUGACGGUACCUGAAGAAUAAGCACCGGCUAACUACGUGCCAGCAGCCGCGGUAAUACGUAGGGUGCGAGCGUUAAUCGGAAUUACUGGGCGUAAAGCGAGCGCAGACGGUUACUUAAGCAGGAUGUGAAAUCCCCGGGCUCAACCUGGGAACUGCGUUCUGAACUGGGUGACUAGAGUGUGUCAGAGGGAGGUAGAAUUCCACGUGUAGCAGUGAAAUGCGUAGAGAUGUGGAGGAAUACCGAUGGCGAAGGCAGCCUCCUGGGAUAACACUGACGUUCAUGCUCGAAAGCGUGGGUAGCAAACAGG